rnacentral:tRNA from 1 species
GCCUGGGUGGCUCAGUCGGUUAAGCGACCGACUUCAGCUCAGGUCAUGAUCUCAUCGUUCGUGGGUUCGAGCCCCACGUCGGGCU